rnacentral:ncRNA from 1 species
ACUUGUUGUAAAGCGCCAGCACUGUGGCUGACCGGAAAAAGGCCCAGUGGACGAGGUGGAGGUUUAUCGAAGAUUUCGGCGGAUACCUCCCGGCAGCAGUAUCACUACCGUGGAGCGCAGGUACAAAAUAUCAGAGAAAUCUGGUGGACAAAAACUUGCGCAUGAUACGAU